UACGUAGGGGUCGAGCGUUGUCCGGAGUUACUGGGCGUAAAGAGCGCGCAGGCGGUCGUUCAAGUCGCGUGUGAAAGCCCCCGGCUCAACUGGGGAGGGUCACGCGAUACUGAUCGACUCGAAGGCAGGAGAGGGUAGUGGAAUUCCCGGUGUAGUGGUGAAAUGCGUAGAUAUCGGGAGGAACACCAGUGGCGAAGGCGACUACCUGGCCUGUUCUUGACGCUGAGGCGCGAAAGCUAGGGGAGCAAACGGG
rnacentral:rRNA from 1 species